GACGAACGCUGGCGGCGUGCUUAACACAUGCAAGUCGAACGGAAAGGCCCUGCUUUUGUGGGGUGCUCGAGUGGCGAACGGGUGAGUAACACGUGAGUAACCUGCCCUUGACUUUGGGAUAACUUCAGGAAACUGGGGCUAAUACCGGAUAGGAGCUCCUGCUGCAUGGUGGGGGUUGGAAAGUUUCGGCGGUUGGGGAUGGACUCGCGGCUUAUCCGCUUGUUGGUGGGGUAGUGGCUUACCAAGGCUUUGACGGGUAGCCGGCCUGAGAGGGUGACCGGCCACAUUGGGACUGAGAUACGGACCAGACUCCUACGGGAGGCAGCAGUGGGGAAUAUUGCACAAUGGGCGGAAGCCUGAUGCAGCAACGCCGCGUGCGGGAUGACGGCCUUCGGGUUGUAAACCGCUUUCGCCGGUGACGAAGCGUGAGUGACGGUAAUGGGUAAAGAAGCACCGGCUAACUACGUG
rnacentral:rRNA from 1 species